rnacentral:rRNA from 1 species
UGGGGAAUAUUGCACAAUGGGCGCAAGCCUGAUGCAGCCAUGCCGCGUGUAUGAAGAAGGCCUUCGGGUUGUAAAGUACUUUCAGUCGGGAGGAAGGUGGUAAGGUUAAUAACCUUAUCAAUUGACGUUACCGACAGAAGAAGCACCGGCUAACUCCGUGCCAGCAGCCGCGGUAAUACGGAGGGUGCAAGCGUUAAUCGGAAUUACUGGGCGUAAAGCGCACGCAGGCGGUUGAUUGAGUCAGAUGUGAAAUCCCCGGGCUUAACCCGGGAAUUGCAUCUGAUACUGGUCAGCUAGAGUCUUGUAGAGGGGGGUAGAAUUCCAUGUGUAGCGGUGAAAUGCGUAGAGAUGUGGAGGAAUACCGGUUGCGAAGGCGGCCCCCUGGACAAAGACUGACGCUCAGGUGCGAAAGCGUGGGGAGCAAACAGG